UCAAUUUGAAUUUUUUAAGCCCGGUUAGUAGUAGUUAUUUACUUAAAAACUAAAAGAUUUGGCGGUAGUUUAAUCCAUUCAGAGGAAUUUGUUUUUUAAUCGAUAAACCACGAAGUAUCAAUUCUAGAGAAGAUUAGUUUGUAUACCAUCAUUAUAAGGUAAUUUCAACAGAAAAAAUUGCUUAAAUUAAGUAAUAAAAGCUUAAGAAAAUUAGAUCAUGGUGCAGCUUAUGAAUAAGUUAAAAUGAAUUACAAUAAAUUUUUUUAGACGGAUUUACAGGGUAAGCACUGUAAUGAAGGAGGAUUUGAUUGUAUUUUAAGUUUAAUAAGCUUACAAGACAGAGGCUCUAAAUUAUGUACAUAUCGCCCUCGCUGUCAUUU
rnacentral:rRNA from 1 species